CUCCUAUGGGACACAAACUACAUGAAGUGGAAUGAAGAAGCCCAUGUUUGAUGCUCGUCUCCAGGAUGGAGUAUUGAAUUUAUAACUAAUGAAGUGUCUUCUGGCACGUGACAAGCUGCUCCUGUUUGCACAGCGACUUCAACAUUGUGUACUGUGAUCACGGCCUAGUUCAGAGGUAGGUAACCUUUGUCAGUCCAGAUGCUGUGAAUUACAUCUCCCAUAAUGCUGGAAAAGCAUUAUGGAAGGUGUAGUCCAAAACAUCUGGAAUAUCGAAUGCGUAUGAAUGAAAAGUAUGGUGUGUGUGAAUGGUCAGUAACAAGGGUUGAAGCCUUGACGUGGCGUUACUGCUCACAUGUGUAUUCAUGUGCCAAUUCAACCAAUGUGAGUCACUGUAAUACUUAUAAGGUAACCAAAAGUACUGUGAUUGUGGAUAAUGAAACGCCUGUAUCACCUACACACUGUUUACACUGUGACCGUAUCUCCUACACACUGCUUACACUGUGACCGUAUCUCCUAAACACUGCUGACACUGUGACCGUAUCUCCUAAACACUGCUGACACUGUGACCGUAUCUCCUAAACACUGCUUACACUGUGACCGUAUCUCCUAAACACUGCUGACACUGUGACCGUAUCUCCUAAACUCUGCUCACACUGUGACCGUAUCUCCUAAACACUGCUGACACUGUGAGCGUAUCUCCUAUACACUGCUGACACUGUGACCAUAUCUCCUAAACUCUGCUCACACUGUGACCCUGUCGCCUAUACACUGCUUACACUCUGACCCUAUCACCUAAACACUGCUUACACUGUAAGCACAGACAUGUUUUUUAUUUAAAAUUGAAAGCGCUCGAUCAUUCUUUCUAUUCUACGCCUCCAAUCUUCAACAUUGAAAUUGUCAUUUCUAAUAAUAUAAAAUAAGUAUUAUGCUUUCUGGUUACGAUUUGGCGAGUUGUAACUAUAUUUUUUAUUUUUACAGUUCCAGAGGGAAGGAGCAAACCGCUUUGAGGAGUCCCUGCAUAAGAGACUAUUGGAUACUGAAGGGCUGUACUGCAGUGUCAGCUCUAGACUUGGCGAGGCCUUAGGCGAAACUCAUACAUGAGACCCCACG